AAGAGAAGAAGUCCAAUACAAAGAAAUCAUCGCAGCAAUAUUCCCACACAGAGCCACAUUAUAGACUGAGCCUGAGAGAUGUACCCUUUGUUGCUGGAACGUCAGUAGGCUGCAGCCACUCGGUCAGAGCCAACGUCCAGUCAGUUUUGUCUCUCCUGAAGCGACACCAGCCCCACCUCUGCAACAGCCGCGUCCUCUCACGCAACACGAACGGCUCCGGCACAGACGGCCACCGGCAUUCAGACAGUUCCUCUUCUUCCUCUUCGGCUAGCGGGGAGGAAUUAUCGGA